rnacentral:rRNA from 1 species
GAUGAACGCUGGCGGCGUGCCUAAUACAUGCAAGUCGAGCGAACAGACGAGGAGCUUGCUCCUCUGACGAUAGCGGCGGACGGGUGAGUAACACGUGGAUAACCUCCCUAUAAGACUGGGAUAACUUCGGGAAACCGGAGCCAAUACCGGAUCAUAUAUUGAACAGCAUGGCUUAAUAGUGAAUGUCGGUUUUGCUGUCACUUAUAGAUGGAUCCGCGCCGCAUUAGCUAGUUGGUAAGGUAACGGCUUACCAAGGCGACGAUGCCUGGCCGCCCUAGGAGGGCGACCGGCCACACUGGACCUGAGACCUGGUCGAGGGUCCUACGGGAGGCAACAGACGGGAAUCUUCCGCAAUGGGCGAAGGCCUGACGGAGCAACGCCGCGUGAGUGAUGAAGGUCUUCGGAUCGUGAAACUCUGUUAUUAGGGACGAACAGAUGGGUAAGUAACGAUGCACGUCUUGACGGUACCUACUCAGAGAGCCACGGCUAACUACGUG